ACGCUCGACACCUACGGGAGGCAGCAGUGGGGAAUAUUGCACAAUGGGGGAAACCCUGAUGCAGCGACGCCGCGUGGAGGAAGAAGGUCUUCGGAUUGUAAACUCCUGUUGUUGGGGAAAAAGNGGAUGGUACCCAACAAGGAAGUGACGGCUAACUACGUGCCACAGCCGCGGUAAUCUGAGCGGGCUGGCAAGGC
rnacentral:rRNA from 1 species